rnacentral:rRNA from 1 species
AUGCACAAACCAUCAUUUGCAUCCCUAAAGGUACUCCAUUAUUUUGCAGGGACCAGUCAUCCCCCGAUCAAAAUAAGAUCGCCGAUCCUGGAUGUGCAUUUGCAUCCGCGAUUCGGUCUAACCUGGAACCUUGUAGCUGACUUUGGCAUAUUGGGAUCAACUAUCUUAGCAGUCGUUACCCAUGGUACCACUGAUGUGCAACAUGGUCACACAAUCUACCACGAUCAGACCGUCACCAUCUACCCAGGUAUUCCAUUUUUUAACCCUCUCACCUUCUCUUUCAUUGUUGUACUAGUAGUAUACUUAGUACUACUAGUAGGAGUACUUUUUACCUUGGAGGACGCAUAUAGCUAG